AUUGAACGCUGGCGGCAUGCUUUACACAUGCAAGUCGAACGGCAGCACGGGCUUCGGCCUGGUGGCGAGUGGCGAACGGGUGAGUAAUAUAUCGGAACGUACCCAGACGUGGGGGAUAACGUAGCGAAAGUUACGCUAAUACCGCAUACGAUCUAUGGAUGAAAGCAGGGGACCGCAAGGCCUUGUGCUCCUGGAGCGGCCGAUAUCUGAUUAGCUAGUUGGUGAGGUAAAGGCUCACCAAGGCGACGAUCAGUAGCUGGUCUGAGAGGACGACCAGCCACACUGGAACUGAGACACGGUCCAGACUCCGACGGGAGGCAGCAGUGGGGAAUUUUGGACAAAGGGCGCAAGCCUGAUCCAGCAAUGCCGCGUGAGUGAAGAAGGCCUUCGGGUUGUAAAGCUCUUUUGUCAGGGAAGAAACGGUAGAGGCUAAUAUCCUUUGCUAAUGACGGUACCUGAAGAAUAAGCACCGGCUAACUACGUG
rnacentral:rRNA from 1 species